CAUGACACUUAGCUCUAGUAGAGUGAUUCCAACUAAGCUGUUCUGCAAGGUGAUCUUUUUCCUUGUCCUGCAGCUAGGAAGAACUGGCUUUUCUUAGGGUUGUUUGUCUGCAUGGGUUAGCAUUCUUGCACCUCCUGCUUCCUCGCACCCUGUUUAAAUUUUAUGAAGCAAAAAAGGUGCAGAGGUGGAGACUACCAUCUUCCUUCUGUCAAACUCAUCUUUUCUCUAGCACCAUUUUACAUGAAAUAACCAGGAGAUGUGGGAAGAUGUCUAGCUACGCCCUUGUGUCAUAGAGCCUGAAGUCCAGUCUGAUUCCCAUGAUUUAACCAUCCCUUUUCUUUCUUUUCUUUGCCUCCCACCCACAACCCCGUGCAACAUUUUUGUCCUCUCUGCUGUGGCAUCACAAAGUGGCCAAUCCUGGAGCGCUACCCUCAGGUUCGGACCAUCAAGAGUGGGUAAAAGAAACUGGGCGUGGUGGCGCAUGCCUUUAAUCCCAGCACUCGGGGAGGCGGAGGCGGAGGCGGAGGCGGAGGCGGAGGCGGAGGCGGAGGCGGAGGCGGAGGCGGAGGCGGAGGCGGAGGCGGGCAGAUUUCUGAGUUCCAGUUACAUUGGCUGGUCAGUCAGCAAACCUCAGCAUCUCUGGUCUCCACCCCUCCAACAACCCAGCUCUGGGGUUGCAAGCACAAAUGGCCAUACUUGCUGAUCAUUUUAUACGGAGAGUUGCUGGCUGCUUACACAAUCUAUUUCAGACCCUGAUGCCUGAAUUCUGCCGGGAAGUACCCUCUGAGUUCGGAAACCUAUGCGCCACCAUGGACAGAAGAUGGGAUUGAAAGACAGAUGAAUCUGACUCUUGUGUCAUGUAGAGUUAAGAUAUGUUUCUAUUCUGCAAUCUUGUGAGUGGAAUUCUAGGAAUGCGCCCUAGGCUUCUGAACUGGCCUAGGGAAACUUGAGUCACUUUCCCAGCCGUAGCAUUCAGAAGCUGUCUUUUGAGAGACAGCAUCUCUCAAACACUAAAGUGCAUAAGAACCCCUCUGGGGUUUUGAUAAAGUGUCAGAUCUGCCUCUGAGGGGUAGGACACUAAGUUUCUGCAUUUUUAAAGCUCUCAGGAGAUGCCCAUUCUGUUGGUGUGUCCUUAAGAACAUGGCCUCUGCCUCCCCCCCCCCCCCCCAAGGCCAGCUCGGAAUGUCAGAGCAGAUCAAAACUUCACAAAGUAGAUUUGGGCAGAGGACCCAAAAACCAUCCGAGCGAAAUGUAAUUGUGAGUGUGAAACAUGGCUUACUUUCCUUGUGAUUAAGGGCUUUGCCCAUGGAGGAUCGUGAGCUAGUCGUAUAGCACAUGUAACCACUUCUCUGAUUGGACAUUCACACAUGAUCACCUCUCUGGCUGGGCUUUGGGCUGAGUGAGCGUGUACAGGGAGUGUGUGACCUCCUUAUUGACUCAGCCCAAGGAAGCACUAAGAAAAUGACCAAUUCCAGUAGAGCUUACUCCAGUCUUCAUUUAUAUCACACUGUGAGAUUCAUUAAAUAUCACUUAAAGGGCAGCGCAAUACACGGUCCUCACUUGAAUAUAUCAUAUCAUAGACACUGUCUUCUUGUGGUGGUAAAAUUCCUUCACAAACGAAGCAUAAAUACAAAGUGUUGACUUUUAGCUCACAGUCCCAAAGGAAUACAGUCCGUCAUGGCAGGGAAUACAUGGCAGGAGGCAGGGAAGGCGUGGUACUAUGGAUAGGGCCUGGAUACUCAUGCUACAUCCACACAUGGGAAGCAGAGAAGGGAUAGGAAGAUGGGUCAGUGUAUAAAGUCUAGCUCCCGUGUCCCACUUCCUCCAUCAAGGCUCCACCUCCUAAGCAUUUCCCAACCUUCCCAAACAGCAGCACAAGUUGAGCACCAAGUUUUCAAACAUGUGGGCCUAUGGAGAAUAUUGCAUGUCCAAGCCAUAUCCCUCCUCCCCCUGGCUCCUCUAGGCUUAUGACCUUCCAUUGAGAUACAUUAAAUCCAACUUCAGAAACUCCCCAGUCUUUAGCAGUCCCUCCCCACCCUGAUCAAAGAGUUCAAAGAUUCUUGUGAUACUCAAAGCAAUUUUGCUCUUGAAAAGACUGUGUGUGUAGCUCACUGAACCUGCUGCAUCUCACCGAUUCAACCCCAUUAGCUGCCCGUUGAGUCUUUGGGAUCCUCCUGUCUCUGCCUUCCUCAUGUUAAGGUAAAAGUGCAGGAGAAUGCCACCAUGACUGUAUCCUUAAGCUCAGGUCCCCACAGUGCAGAGCAGUCACCUAGCCAGCUCCCUGAGCAUCUCUUCAGCCCCUUCCCUGCAUUUUCUGUUUCUCUUCCUAUUUCUGUCUUGGUUGCUAUUUCUCCUUUGCUCAGCUUUACUUAUAAGAGUCAUCUGUUGCCCAGCCUGGUUCAGAACCAAAAUCAAGUGAUUCUUCUGCCUCAACUCACUAGUAACGGGGACCCCAGACACUUAGACUCGUCUGGCUUCAGCUUCACCUUCAAGUGACAAAGGCCCACAGAACACAGAACAACACGCAAUGCCCUGACAUCUGAGGGAUGGGGAGCUGAUGCCCAGCAUUGCCAAGUGUCAGUUACAGGUUAAUUCUU
rnacentral:lncRNA from 1 species